rnacentral:tRNA from 1 species
UCCUCGAUGGUCUAGUGGUAUGUCUUAUUCAUCAUCUUGUCUCUACCAGUCUAUCUGACAGACAUUAGGUCAUGAUUUCCGCUUGUCAUUCAACAAUCAAUCUUCUCUGGUUGCGUUUACAAGCGCGGUAAGCAUAAUCGCCGGCAAUGCCUCUACAGCAAAAGACUAAUAAUCUCAAUAGGGAGACCAGGGUUCGAUUCCCUGUCGGGGAG